rnacentral:rRNA from 1 species
GCUAGCUACAGGCUUAACACAUGCAAGUCGAGGGGCAUCAGGAAGAAAGCUUGCUUUCUUUGCUGGCGACCGGCGCACGGGUGAGUAACACGUAUCCAACCUGCCCUUUACUCGGGGAUAGCCUUUCGAAAGACACAUUAAUACCCGAUAGCAUAAUGAUUCCGCAUGGUUUCAUUAUUAAAGGAUUCCGGUAAAGGAUGGGGAUGCGUUCCAUUAGGUUGUUGGUGAGGUAGCGGCCCACCAAGCCUUCGAUGGAUAGGGGUUCUGAGAGGAAGGUCCCCCACAUUGGAACUGAGACACGGUCCAAACUCCUACGGGAGGCAGCAGUGAGGAAUAUUGGUCAAUGGGCGCUAGCCUGAACCAGCCAAGUAGCGUGAAGGAUGAAGGCUCUAUGGGUCGUAAACUUCUUUUAUAUAAGAAUAAAGUGCAGUAUGUAUACUGUUUUGUAUGUAUUAUAUGAAUAAGGAUCGGCUAACUCCGUGCCAGCAGCCGCGGUAACACGGAGGAUCCGAGCGUUAUCCGGAUUUAUUGGGUUUAAAGGGAGCGUAGGUGGACUGGUAAGUCAGUUGUGAAAGUUUGCGGCUCAACCGUAAAAUUGCAGUUGAUACUGUCAGUCUUGAGUACAGUAGAGGUGGGCGGAAUUCGUGGUGUAGCGGUGAAAUGCUUAGAUAUCACGAAGAACUCCGAUUGCGAAGGCAGCUCACUGGACUGCAACUGACACUGAUGCUCGAAAGUGUGGGUAUCAAACAGGAUUAGAUACCCUGGUAGUCCACACAGUAAACGAUGAAUACUCGCUGUUUGCGAUAUACAGUAAGCGGCCAAGCGAAAGCAUUAAGUAUUCCACCUGGGGAGUACGCCGGCAACGGUGAAACUCAAAGGAAUUGACGGGGGCCCGCACAAGCGGAGGAACAUGUGGUUUAAUUCGAUGAUACGCGAGGAACCUUACCCGGGCUUAAAUUGCAGUGGAAUGAUGUGGAAACAUGUCAGUGAGCAAUCACCGCUGUGAAGGUGCUGCAUGGUUGUCGUCAGCUCGUGCCGUGAGGUGUCGGCUUAAGUGCCAUAACGAGCGCAACCCUUAUCUUUAGUUACUAACAGGUUAUGCUGAGGACUCUGGAGAGACUGCCGUCGUAAGAUGUGAGGAAGGUGGGGAUGACGUCAAAUCAGCACGGCCCUUACGUCCGGGGCUACACACGUGUUACAAUGGGGGGUACAGAAGGCAGCUAGCGGGUGACCGUAUGCUAAUCCCAAAAGCCUCUCUCAGUUCGGAUCGAAGUCUGCAACCCGACUUCGUGAAGCUGGAUUCGCUAGUAAUCGCGCAUCAGCCACGGCGCGGUGAAUACGUUCCCGGGCCUUGUACACGCCGCCCGUCAAGCCAUGGGAGCCGGGGGUACCUGAAGUACGUAACCGCAAGGAUCGUCCUAGGGUAAAACUGGUGACUGG